UACGAGGGAUCCUAGCGUUGUUCGGAAUUAUUGGGCGUAAAGGGUGUGUAGGUGGCUUUUUAAGUCAGAUGUGAAAGCCCCGGGCUUAACCUGGGAACUGCAUUUGAUACUCUAGAGCUUGAGUACGGGAGAGGAGAGUGGAAUUCCCAGUGUAGAGGUGUAAUUCGUAAGAUAUUGGGAAGAACACCGGUGGCGAAGGGCGGCUCUCUGGACCGUAACUGACGCUGAGGCGCGAAAGCGUGGGGAGCAAACAGG
rnacentral:rRNA from 1 species